GACGAACGCUGGCGGCGUGCCUAAUACAUGCAAGUAGAACGCUGAAGAGAGGAGCUUGCUCUUCUUGGAUGAGUUGCGAACGGGUGAGUAACGCGUAGGUAACCUGCCUUGUAGCGGGGGAUAACUAUUGGAAACGAUAGCUAAUACCGCAUAACAAUGGAUGACACAUGUCAUUUAUUUGAAAGGGGCAAUUGCUCCACUACAAGAUGGACCUGCGUUGUAUUAGCUAGUAGGUGAGGUAAAGGCUCACCUAGGCGACGAUACAUAGCCGACCUGAGAGGGUGGACGGCCCCCCUGGGACUGAGGCACGGCCCAGACUCCUACGGGAGGCAGCAGUAGGGAAUCUUCGGCAAUGGGGGCAACGCUGACCGAGCAACGCCGCGUGAGUGAAGAAGGUUUUCGGAUCGUUAAGCUCUGUUGUAAGUCAAGGACGGGUGUGAGAGUUGACAGUUCACACUGUGACGGUAGCUUACCAGAAAGGGACGGCUAACUACGUG
rnacentral:rRNA from 1 species